AUUGAACGCUAGCGGCAUGCUUAACACAUGCAAGUCGAACGGCAGCGCGGGGAGCUUGCUCCCUGGCGGCGAGUGGCGGACGGGUGAGUAAUGCGUAGGAAUCUACCUUACAGUGGGGGAUAACUCGGGGAAACUCGGGCUAAUACCGCAUAAUCUCUAUGGAGCAAAGCAGGGGACCUACGGGCCUUGUGCGUGAAGAUGAGCCUACGUCGGAUUAGCUAGUUGGUGGGGUAAAGGCCUACCAAGGCGACGAUCCGUAGCUGGUCUGAGAGGACGAUCAGCCACACUGGGACUGAGACACGGCCCAGACUCCUACGGGAGGCAGCAGUGGGGAAUAUUGGACAAUGGGGGAAACCCUGAUCCAGCAAUGCCGCGUGUGCGGAGAAGGCCUUCGGGUUGUAAAGCACUUUCAGCGGGGAAGAAAGAACCAAAAUUAAUACUUUUGGGUGUUGACGUUACCCGCAGAAGAAGCACUGGCUAACUCUGUGCCAGCAGCCGCCGUAA
rnacentral:rRNA from 1 species